GAGAGAUACCAGGCAACCACGUCCUACUUGGAUCUGGCUGGCUAGGCGGGUGUCCCCUUCCUCCCUCACUGCUCCAUGUGCGUCCCUCCCGAAGCUGUGCGCUCGCUCGCUCGGUCGAAGAGGACGACCUUCCCCGAAUAGAGGAGGACCGGUCUUCAGUCAAGGGUAUAGAGUAGCUGCGCUCCCCUGCUAGAACCUCCAAACAAACAUGCGGGAACCACCNNNNNNNNNN
rnacentral:snRNA from 1 species